rnacentral:lncRNA from 1 species
UGAGGUUUGUGUGUUACUAAAUGGAUAUCCUCCUAAAGCAUGGAAUGAGAACCGUGUUUUUCUUUCUUUUUGGUGGAAUCAUUUAUAGGUAUAUAUCCUUGCGUUGAGUUGUGUUUGAAGUUGAGUGUUCCUCAAUAUUGAUUUCCAUAGCCAAUAUUAACACUGAGUUCUUGAUGAACUUAUAUGUAACUCUCAGUUUAUAUAUGCCACAUGCUGCUUGCAG